CCUACGGGAGGCAGCAGUGGGGAAUUUUGGACAAUGGGCGCAAGCCUGAUCCAGCCAUGCCGCGUGUCUGAAGAAGGCCUUCGGGUUGUAAAGGACUUUUGUCAGGGAAGAAAAGGGCGGGGUUAAUACCCCUGUCUGAUGACGGUACCUGAAGAAUAAGCACCGGCUAACUACGUGCCAGCAGCCGCGGUAAUACGUAGGGUGCGAGCGUUAAUCGGAAUUACUGGGCGUAAAGCGGGCGCAGACGGUUACUUAAGCAGGAUGUGAAAUCCCCGGGCUCAACCUGGGAACUGCGUUCUGAACUGGGUGACUAGAGUGUGUUAGAGGGGGGUAGAAUUCCACGUGUAGCAGUGAAAUGCGUAGAGAUGUGGAGGAAUACCGAUGGCGAAGGCAGCCUCCUGGGAUAACACUGACGUUCAUGCCCGAAAGCGUGGGUAGCAAACAGGAUUAGAUACCCUGGUAGUCCACGCCCUAAACGAUGUCGAUUAGCUGUUGGGCAGCAUGACUGCUUAGUAGCGAAGCUAACGCGUGAAAUCGACCGCCUGGGGAGUACGGUCGCAAGAUUAAAACUCAAAGGAAUUGACGG
rnacentral:rRNA from 1 species